AACGUAGGGGGCGAGCGUUGUCCGGAAUUACUGGGCGUAAAGGGAGUGUAGGCGGCUCUGUGUGUCCUGCGUGAAAGGCGCCGGCUUAACCGGCGAAGGUCGUGGGAAACUGCAGGGCUUGAGUGCCGGAGAGGGUAGUGGAAUUCCCGGUGUAGCGGUGAAAUGCGUAGAUAUCACGAGGAACACCGGAGGUGUAGACGGGUGACUGGACGGAGACUGACGCUGAGGCACGAAAGCGUGGGGAGCAAACAGG
rnacentral:rRNA from 1 species